ensembl:lncRNA
AGAGACUUGAGAUAGAGAUAUUUGUACCUCAAGUUGUAUCUUUUUAUGCUUCUGUGCUUUAGCAAUGUAAAUGUACAUUUCCCAUGCCAAUGAAGCCUAGUGAAUCUUUGAAUCUUGAAAGAGAGUGAAAAGGAGACAGACAAACAGGCCGAUAUGCAGGGGUUUUGUCCUCUGCUCCUGCUGCUCUCUUAUGUCUCUGUGUUUAGGGUUCAUGUCUCCGUGGUUACAGCUGUGGAGCUCCCGAGGGGGCGUGGUGACAGCAAACCUGGGAGCCCUGCAGGUUGCCAUAGUGACAGGGAUAAGGAUGACCGUCCACGCCAGAACUGCACAGCUGGAGGAUUCAACAACAUCCCCUCAGGACUCGAACCCACAACCGAGGUGCUGCUGCUUCCUAUCAACCAGCUGUCGUCUCUAUCUUGGUCCGAUUACAGGAUGUUCCCCAAAAUCUACGAGAUCGACCUAACAUCUAACCAGAUCCAUGCUCUCUCUGAGGUAUUUCUGAGGGGGUCUGAAGACUCUGAGGGUUCUACGUCUGGGUUCAAACGGUUUGGAAGUUCUGGCAGACGGAUGUUUCUCCCCCUUCCCCUUCCUGGCGGAACUCUACCUCCCCCACAACUCCCUUGUCUCCCUCCCAGACGACGUCUUUAAGGAUCUCAACAAGCUGGAGAUCCUGGAUCUGUCGUCCAAUAGGAUCAUAGUUCUUCCUCCAAAAAUCAUCUACCCCCUCGAGGUCAUAGAGACGCUUUACCUAGAAAACAACAAGAUCCAGGCGAUUCCAGAUGACUGGUUCAGCGUACAGGACAUGGGAAUCCCCUAUCUGUUCCUCUCGGCCAAUCCGUGGCGCUGCUCCUGUUCCCUUGGCUACCUGCACGAUUACCUUCUAGAAUUCGAAUCCUCGGUGUAUGUGAGAAAUGGGACAGUCGUCAACUCAAGGCCAAAGAGUGUGGUGUGUCACUCUCCUGGGAGGCUGGAGGGGAGACCUGUGAUUGACCUGAAGGCUGAGGACCUCUGCCCCCCUAUCAUUACUACUGCUCCUACUUCUCUUACUGCCCCCCCUACUACUGCUGCUCCUACUACUACCACUGCUCCUACUACUGCUGCUCCUACUACUACUACUACUGAUCCUACUACUACUGCUGCUCCUACUACUACUACCACUGCUCCUACUACUGCUGCUCCUACUACUACUACUACUGAUCCUACUACUACUACUACUGAUCCUACUACUACUGCUGCUGCUACUACUACCACUACUGAUCUUACUACUACUAAUGCUCCUACUACUACCACUGCUCCUACUACAACUGCUGCUAUUACUACUGCUUCUACUACUCCUCCUGCUCCUACUAUGCUCCUCCAAUGGGUGAGCAGCACAGAGUAUCCAGUGGCUGCCAUCGGUAGUUCCAGUGGUAUCGCCACGUCGACGCCCACCCCGAUGCCCAACACCUCCGUGGCGACGGCCGCCGUGGCAACGGCCGCCGUACCGACCGAGGUCGGAGGGUUCCAGCCGGGGGCCAGACGCGGCGGCGGCGGCGGCGGCGUGCGUGCGUACUGCGCCUGGCUGUUUGCAGGGUGUGUGUUGCUGUGCGCGCUGUCGCUGGCGUGCACGGCGCUGUCCACGGCGUGGCUGGUCCUGUGGUACCGCCGGGCGCACGGAGCCCCCCUCAGAGACGCACCGAGGGAGAAGAGGGGAGGAGGGGGACGAAGGCUGGAGUCGCUGAGGAUGAUGAGCUGCCGGAAGGGAAGGAGGGUUGAAGAGGAGAGAGGAGGAGGAGGAGGAGGAGGAGGAGGAGGAGGAGGGACCGCACUCUACCGCUCGGUCCUGUUUGUCUCUAGAGGGGUGGAGCCCACCCAGGGAGAGAGAGAGGAGGGAGGGAGCGAGAGGAGGAGAGAAGGCGGGACAAGGAGGAGUGAGAGAGAGGGCGGGGGGAGAGAGACCGGGAGGAGUGGCAGGGAGGGGCGGGAGAGACGACGGGAGAGAGCACUCUUAUCGUCCUGCGGCCAGCCGGUCUCGGGGGUGGGACGGAGGGAUGAGGUGGAGAGGAAGGGAAGAGGAGGAGGAGGAGAGGAGGAGAGCGUGUCCAGAGAGGAGUCUUUCCAUCUGUUCAGCAGGCAGGAAGAGAUAGCGUGUCGGCUGGCCGGGGCGGGCGGGGGGGCGCUCGGGGCUCGCUACAGCGUUGUGCUGAGGGAGGAGAGGGAGGGAGGGGAGGGUGCGGCGAGGGACUGGGUGGUGGGGGGCUGGGCGGUGACUCCGGGCACAGGAGCCGUCAGGAGCAGCUGGGGGGAGUGGCUUACUCAUUAUCUACCCAACAUGCCUUGGGGCGCGGCCGUGCCCUCGGAGGGCGCUCCGGCGGAGUGAUGUCGGCAGCUCUUCCGUGACCUUCCGUACGUGUCAUAAGCCCUACGAUGUGUCCGUGGUUUAAGUGUAUUAAAAAUGCAUUCUACUGUUCAACUGUAUGCUAUAUCCGACUUCAUUGAGCUUUAAGUGUUGCGGUCUAAUUGAUGAGACAGGAAGGGAGAGUGUCAAUCACCGGUGAGGGACAGGCGAGGGUACAAGGGGGUUGGAUGUGUGCCUUCCUGGUUCCUGUUAAAUCCCAAGAUGUUUGACAAACGAGACGACCACCCACCCAACUAUCAACUGGACCCCGUCAGACCAUCUUAAUCAUACCGGACGAUCUGAUCGGUCCAAAAAAAAAAAAAAAAAAAAAAUUUGAAUUUGUCAAUUUUUUUAUACUUUUUUUUUUAGCUGGCCAUGUGGUGACAAACCUGUAGGCCUACCUAGUGUUAACCACCAUACCUGACCAGUGCACUAUCAAGACGCCUGGGAUCCUUUUCCCGAAGGUUAUACUGGACAUUACAAAUGACAUUAUAAAGAAAUAGGUUUCCCUUAAAGUUAACCUUUUGUGGGUAAACCCUUCUUAUUGGCCGUAUGUUCGGGACUCAAACCUGUGGCUACAGAGCGU